AGCUUUGCACAGUGUCAGUAUCGUAGCCAAUGAGGUUUAUCUGAGGUGCGAUUAUUGUUAAUUAAAAAAGAAUUACUACCUGUUCUCCUGAAACUGUUCCAAAAAAUAGAAAUGGAAGGAAAACUUCCAAACUCACUUUAUGAG